rnacentral:rRNA from 1 species
UUAAAUUAUAAAAAUAGGAGGAAAAGAAACCAACAGGGAUUGCCUUAGUAACGGCGAGUGAAGCGGCAACAGCUCAAAUUUGAAAUCUGGUCCCCUUUGGGGGCCCGAGUUGUAAUUUGAAGAGGAUGCUUUUGGCGAGGCGCCGUCCGAGUUCCCUGGAACGGGACGCCGCAGAGGGUGAGAGCCCCGUACGGUCGGACGCCGAGCCUCUGUAAAGCUCCUUCGACGAGUCGAGUAGUUUGGGAAUGCUGCUCAAAAUGGGAGGUAAACCCCUUCUAAAGCUAAAUACUGGCCAGAGACCGAUAGCGCACAAGUAGAGUGAUCGAAAGAUGAAAAGCACUUUGAAAAGAGAGUUAAAAAGCACGUGAAAUUGUUAAAAGGGAAGCGCUUGCGACCAGACUUGCGCCCGUCGGAUCAACCGUCGCUUGCGGCGGCGCACUCCGGCGGGCUCAGGCCAGCAUCAGUUCGUCCGGGGGGAGAAAGGCGGCGGGAAUGUGGCUCUUCGGAGUGUUAUAGCCCGCCGUGUAAUACCCUCGGGUGGACUGAGGACCGCGCGUAUGCAAGGAUGCUGGCGUAAUGGUCGUCAGCGACCCGUCUUAAAAACCCGGAACCAAAAGG